UUUUGCGUUAUACUUUUUAAAAUUUAAAAUUUUGUUUUUGUAGUUUUUUUGUUAUAAGUUGAAUCGAGUAAUUAGGUAAAAUAUUGAUUUUAUCGGAGGAUAUUUGACAUAAUAGCAGAACAAAUCAAAUAAUAAAUAUUUGAUUCAGACAAAACUAAACGGAUCGUAUAUGCGCAUUUCGACUUGUAGAACGCUUUCUCUCUUCCCUCUGUUCUCCCUUUAAUAUCUUUUACAGAGAUAACGACGAGAGACGUUCAUGGUUGCUGGUUUCUUCUCCGGCUCUGACUCCCGGUGAUCGGGCUUCGAUUCUGGCAAGGGGCGGCUUCUUCAGCGACGACUUGGCCGGCUUCUCUUCUGGCAAGCGAUGGCUCCUUCAGAUUUUCUUGGCUGGCUUUGUCUUCGGCAUGCGACGGCUUCCACAGCACCGUUCAUGGCCGUUCUAUCGCCGUUGUUGUUUGUUCUGGUCUCGAGCUUCCUGUCCCGGUGUGUUCCGGUGGAGUGCGCGAUUAGACAUCCGACGGUGAUCUCCGAGCCGGUGAAGUCGACGGCGUCUCUGCUUCUAAGCCACCUGGUUCUCCUUUGCUUACGGCAAGGCACGUGGUUAUGUGCUGUCCCGCGGAGAUGCAUUCUUCAUCAUUUGGGCUUUUAUGGUUGGGUUGUAUGAUGUGCCCUUCUUUUAUAUUUUCGUCUGGACCUUGUUCUGUUAGACAUUUUUUUCUUGUUCUUUUGUACUUUCUUGACUGUUUGGUCAUAAUAAAACGAGAUGACAAAAAAAAAA